GUUGGGUAGGGGAGCGUUCUGUAAGCCUGUGAAGGUGGCCUGUGAGGGUUGCUGGAGGUAUCAGAAGUGCGAAUGCUGACAUAAGUAACGAUAAAGCGGGUGAAAAGCCCGCUCGCCGGAAGACCAAGGGUUCCUGUCCAACGUUAAUCGGGGCAGGGUGAGUCGACCCCUAAGGCGAGGCCGAAAGGCGUAGUCGAUGGGAAACGGGUUAAUAUUCCCGUACUUGGUGUUACUGCGAAGGGGGGACGGAGAAGGCUAUGUUGGCCGGGCGACGGUUGUCCCGGUUUAAGCGUGUAGGUGUGUGUUCCAGGUAAAUCCGGUUCACUUUAACACUGAGGCGUGACGACGAGGCACUACGGUGCUGAAGCAACAAAUGCCCUGCUUCCAGGAAAAGCCUCUAAGCAUCAGGUAACAUCAAAUCGUACCCCAAACCGACACAGGUGGUCAGGUAGAGAAUACCAAGGCGCUUGAGAGAACUCGGGUGAAGGAACUAGGCAAAAUGGUGCCGUAACUUCGGGAGAAGGCACGCUGAUAUGUAGGUGAAGCGGUUUACCCGCGGAGCUGAAAUCAGUCGAAGAUACCAGCUGGCUGCAACUGUUUAUUAAAAACACAGCACUGUGCAAACACGAAAGUGGACGUAUACGGUGUGACGCCUGCCCGGUGCCGGAAGGUUAAUUGAUGGGGUCAGCGCAAGCGAAGCUCCUGAUCGAAGCCCCGGUAAACGGCGGCCGUAACUAUAACGGUCCUAAGGUAGCGAAAUUCCUUGUCGGGUAAGUUCCGACCUGCACGAAUGGCGUAAUGAUGGCCAGGCUGUCUCCACCCGAGACUCAGUGAAAUUGAACUCGCUGUGAAGAUGCAGUGUACCCGCGGCAAGACGGAAAGACCCCGUGAACCUUUACUAUAGCUUGACACUGAACAUUGAGCCUUGAUGUGUAGGAUAGGUGGGAGGCUUUGAAGCGUGGACGCCAGUCUGCGUGGAGCCGACCUUGAAAUACCACCCUUUAAUGUUUGAUGUUCUAACGUGGACCCGUAAUCCGGGUUGCGGACAGUGUCUGGUGGGUAGUUUGACUGGGGCGGUCUCCUCCUAAAGAGUAACGGAGGAGCACGAAGGUUGGCUAAUCCUGGUCGGACAUCAGGAGGUUAGUGCAAUGGCAUAAGCCAGCUUGACUGCGAGCGUGACGGCGCGAGCAGGUGCGAAAGCAGGUCAUAGUGAUCCGGUGGUUCUGAAUGGAAGGGCCAUCGCUCAACGGAUAAAAGGUACUCCGGGGAUAACAGGCUGAUACCGCCCAAGAGUUCAUAUCGACGGCGGUGUUUGGCACCUCGAUGUCGGCUCAUCACAUCCUGGGGCUGAAGUAGGUCCCAAGGGUAUGGCUGUUCGCCAUUUAAAGUGGUACGCGAGCUGGGUUUAGAACGUCGUGAGACAGUUCGGUCCCUAUCUGCCGUGGGCGCUGGAGAACUGAGGGGGGCUGCUCCUAGUACGAGAGGACCGGAGUGGACGCAUCACUGGUGUUCGGGUUGUCAUGCCAAUGGCACUGCCCGGUAGCUAAAUGCGGAAGAGAUAAGUGCUGAAAGCAUCUAAGCACGAAACUUGCCCCGAGAUGAGUUCUCCCUGAGACUUAGAGUCUCCUGAAGGAACGUUGAAGACGACGACGUUGAUAGGCCGGGUGUGUAAGCGCAGCGAUGCGUUGAGCUAACCGGUACUAAUGAACCGUGAGGCUUAACCUUACAACGCCGAAG
rnacentral:rRNA from 1 species